CCUGAUCCAGCAUACCGCGUGUGUGAAGAAGGCCUUCGGGUUGUAAAGCACUUUCAAUAGGGAGGAAGGGGUAUAGCUUAAUAGGCUAUAUCAUUGACGUUACCUAUAGAAGAAGCACCGGCUAACUCCGUGCCAGCAGCCGCGGUAAUACGGAGGGUGCAAGCGUUAAUCGGAAUUACUGGGCGUAAAGCGCGCGUAGGCGGAUAAUUAAGUCAGAUGUGAAAUCCCAGGGCUCAACCUUGGAACUGCAUUUGAUACUGGUUAUCUAGAGUACAGUAGAGGGGGGUGGAAUUCCAGGUGUAGCGGUGAAAUGCGUAGAGAUCUGGAGGAACAUCAGUGGCGAAGGCGACCCCCUGGACUGAUACUGACGCUGAGGUGCGAAAGCGUGGGUAGCGAACAGGAUUAGAUACCCUGGUAGUCCACGCCGUAACGAUGUCUAUUAGCUUUGGGGAUAUUAAAAUCUUUAGUGGCGCAGCUACGCGAUAAAUAGCCGCCUGG
rnacentral:rRNA from 1 species